rnacentral:lncRNA from 1 species
GCCAUACAUACUGUAUACAUACUGAUCUCAGCCAACUGUCCUCCAUGCCGGCACCACGUUUCAAUGACAGUAUCAUUCCAAUGUGACGGACUGGAAACAUUUGGUGCAACACGGUGCUUAUUGAAAUUGUAAAUCUCAAACCACGUUAGUGGAACUCCUUAUCCUAUACAGUACUGCAUGUCUCUAUCCCAGUCAUCCCAACGUUAGUGGAACUCCUUAUCCUAUACAGUACUGCAUGUCUCUAUCCCAGUCAUCCCAACGUUAGUGGAACUCCUUAUCCUAUACAGUACUGCAUGUCUCUAUCCCAGUCAUCCCAACGUUAGUGGAACUCCUUAUCCUAUACAGUACUGCAUGUCUCUAGCCCAGUCAUCCCAACGUUUACCCCUUCCCAGCGCCCCAAGAUACACAACAGCAAAAUAAAAAAUACAAACACAACAAGGAAAUUCAGCUUCAAGUUUGUAAAAAUGCUUACAUCACAUUUCAUUCCGUCAGAGUUCAAGACAUCUGAAAAAUCCAUUCUCGACGCGUGAAAGUUCUAGAAUGUCUGUGACACGGGUCAAGACGUGCGACCUCUUUGACCCCUAUAGGUCAGACGUCAGCUCUGUAUCCGAUAGGCCAUCCAUACCUUCAUCAUCAUCAUCUUCAGAGCUUCUACAGUCAGCCAUGCAUGCCCUACUACAGUAGACAGCCUGUACACAUUGCAGUAAGGUAAGGUGUUACCAUGGCCCACAAGGUGACAGUUUCUAGUGAAAAGAGUUAGUCAAGAACCAUGGUAACAGGUCAGUACAGUUCACAUUGUUCAGUAACACUUCAUUUUACAGUCCUCCUUCAGACAGUAUUUACCUAGUAUUUACUAAGACGUAAUGGCAACAAUAUGUACUUUCUGGUACCUAUACAAUGGGUAACUGCCAAAAUGAUUGUUUCUAUGAUCCCAAAGAAACCUGUUUUAGGAAAAUACCAUGUCAAUAGAGGACUGUAGGAUAAAGUUUAACCCAUUGUUCUCCUGUCCUCCCAGAUACACUGGGUUUGUAUGUAGAACCUAAACCCAAGGUUUAUUUAGGGUUGUCUAUAUGUUCAGAUACACUUGGUUUGUUCAGUUACUUAAACUUAAGACAUGUACAGUAUGUUGCUGUGUGUAUUGUCAGUACACACACACACACACACACACACACACACACACACACACACACACACACACACACAGAGUGAUUCUAGUUCUAGUGUGUACGGUAAAAUACACAGAAGAGUUUGGCAUGUAGAGUCUGUAUGUAGUCCCAUUCCAUCCGAUUCCAGGAGAGAGGAAGUAGUCUGUGGUAUGUAGUCCCAUUCCAUCCGAUUCCAAGAGAGAGGAAGUAGAGUCUGUGGUAUGUAGUCCCAUUCCAUCUGAUUCCAGGAGAGAGGAAGUAGAGUCUGUGGUAUGUAGUCCCAUUCCAUCCGAUUCCAGGAGAGAGGAUGUAGAGUCUGUGGUAUGUAGUCCCAUUCCAUCUGAUUCCAGGAGAGAGGCAGUAGAGUCUGUGGUAUGUAGUCCCAUUCCAUCUGAUUCCAGGAGAGAGGAAGUAGAGUCUGUGGUAUGCAGUCCCAUUCCAUCUGAUUCCAGGAGAGAGGAAGUAGAGUCUGUGGUAUGUAGUCCCAUUCCAUCCGAUUCCAGGAGAGAGGAAGUAGAGUCUGUGGUAUGUAGUCCCAUUCCAUCCGAUUCCAGGAGAGAGGCAGUAGAGUCUGUGGUAUGUAGUCCCAUUCCAUCCGAUUCCAGGAGAGAGGAAGUAGAGUCUGUGGUAUGUAGUCCCAUUCCAUCCGAUUCCAGGAGAGAGGAAGUAGAGUCUGUGGUAUGUAGUCCCAUUCCAUCCGAUUCCAGGAGAGAGGAAGUAGUCUGUGGUAUGUAGUCCCAUUCCAUCUGAUUCCAGGAGAGAGGAAGUAGAGUCUGUGGUAUGUAGUCCCAUUCCAUCUGAUUCCAGGAGAGAGGAAGUAGUCUUUGGUAUGUAGUCCCAUUCCAUCUGAUUCCAGGAGAGAGGAAAGAGUCUGUGGUAUGUAGUCCCAUUCCAUCUGAUUCCAGGAGAGAGUCUGUGGUAUGUAGUCCCAUUCCAUCUGAUUCCAGGAGAGAGGAAGUAGAGUCUGUGGUAUGUAGUCCCAUUCCAUCUGAUUCCAGGAGAGAGUCUGUGGUAUGUAGUCCCAUUCCAUCUGAUUCCAGGAGAGAGUCUGUGGUAUGUAGUCCCAUUCCAUCCGAAUCCAGGAGAGAGGAAGUAGAGUCUGUGGUAUGUAGUCCCAUUCCAUCUGAUUCCAGGAGAGAGUCUGUGGUAUGUAGUCCCAUUCCAUCUGAUUCCAGGAGAGAGGAAGUAGAGUCUGUGGUAUGUAGUCCCAUUCCAUCUGAUUCCAGGAGAGAGUCUGUGGUAUGUAGUCCCAUUCCAUCUGAUUCCAGGAGAGAGGAAGUAGAGUCUGUGGUAUGUAGUCCCAUUCCAUCUGAUUCCAGGAGAGAGUCUGUGGUAUGUAGUCCCAUUCCAUCUGAUUCCAGGAGAGAGUCUGUGGUAUGUAGUCCCAUUCCAUCUGAUUCCAGGAGAGAGGAAGUAGAGUCUGUGGUAUGUAGUCCCAUUCCAUCCGAUUCCAGGAGAGAGGAAGUAGAGUCUGUGGUAUGUAGUCCCAUUCCAUCCGAUUCCAGGAGAGAGGAAGUAGUCUUUGGUAUGUAGUCCCAUUCCAUCCGAUUCCAGGAGAGAGGAUGUAGAGUCUGUGGUAUGUAGUCCCAUUCCAUCCGAUUCCAGGAGAGAGGAAGAGAGGUCCUCAGUGUACAAUCCAAUACAAUGCAUUCGAUGACAGUAUUGCUGUGUGCUUUUCUGACCUCUGAGAUCAGAGAUAAUGCUAUCCAGGAAUGAAUGAAUAAAGGACAAACAUGUCUCUAGGGGGUUUAAUGAUGAGCCAGAGGUUGUAUCAAUGUGUAUAACAAUGUAUACAACCACUGACCUGGAACCUAUAGCUGUCAUUGUAUUGACACAUAUUACUACUCUGAUACAGCACUGUAGCGCCCUCUCCCUCUCUCACAUUAGACUGGGUGGUCCCACUUCCCAGUUCAGAAACCGGGAUCCAGACUGGCUUUUCAUACCAGGCUGCUACGGUCCAGAUCAGACCAGAUCACAUGGGUGGAGGACCACUAGAUCCAGUUCCACAGAAGGGAUCCAGACUAGAUCUGGUUGAAUCCAGUUGACAGAACAAAAAGGCAAUAAUUGAGUUCAUUUCAGUCAAGUUCAAUCAGUUCAGUCUCCGGUGCAAGAAACAGGCAACUAGCCCUAAGAAGAGAAUUGUGUCAGCCAAUCAGAUUGCAUGAAAAAGUGUCACUGUGUUUCAUUGCGAUCAGCUGCUCCAAUAGAAAGUCAGGUCCUCUUCUCCUCUGUAAUAAAUGCUGUAUGCAGUGUGCAUGUUUCAACAGGCUACCUCCACCACAUGUUGAGACACACACACUCUGAAACAUACCUACACAUGCAGGCCCAAUGUCCAAAGUCAUAAAAGGUCUUCUCUUCAUGCUCUGUGUGAAUGUCGUCUUCUAAGCAACACACACACACACACACACACACACACACACACACACACACACACACACACACACACACACACACACACCCCUUGUCAACCAAUGUCAUUCAGAAGGUCUUCUAACUCCCUAUUUUCCAUGUUCCCUUAAUCUCCUGUCCCCUUUCCCCCAAAUCCUCAGUCCUCGUCAUCCUUCACCCCUCCUGCCCAAGCCCACCCAUGGCUGGUUGGUAUGGCGACACUGAUGGGAUGGCCGUUGCUAGGAGAUGGUGAUGGCAGCGAGAAGGAGCGUCGCUAUGGUGAUGAGUAGGCGAUCCCUGGAUGGGCUGCUUCCACUGACACUCUUCUCCAGUUUAGGAAUCUCAGGGUUAAAAUCAUCUACAUGGAGAGAGACAGAGAGAC